GGGUUUCAAGGCCGAGAGCUGAUGACGAGUCGUCUUUUAGAUGACGAAGUGGUUGAUGCCAUGCUUCCAAGAAAAGCUUCUAAGCUUCAGGUAACCAGGAACCGUACCCCAAACCGACACAGGUGGUCGGGUAGAGAAUACCAAGGCGCUUGAGAGAACUCGGGUGAAGGAACUAGGCAAAAUGGCACCGUAACUUCGGGAGAAGGUGCGCCGGCUAGGGUGAAGGAUUUACUCCGUAAGCUCUGGCUGGUCGAAGAUACCAGGCCGCUGCGACUGUUUAUUAAAAACACAGCACUCUGCAAACACGAAAGUGGACGUAUAGGGUGUGACGCCUGCCCGGUGCCGGAAGGUUAAUUGAUGGGGUUAGCGCAAGCGAAGCUCUUGAUCGAAGCCCCGGUAAACGGCGGCCGUAACGAUAACGGUCCUAAGGUAGCGAAAUUCCUUGUCGGGUAAGUUCCGACCUGCACGAAUGGCGUAACGAUGGCGGCGCUGUCUCCACCCGAGACUCAGUGAAAUUGAAAUCGCUGUGAAGAUGCAGUGUAUCCGCGGCUAGACGGAAAGACCCCGUGAACCUUUACUGUAGCUUUGCACUGGACUUUGAGCCUGCUUGUGUAGGAUAGGUGGGAGGCUUUGAAGCGUGGACGCCAGUUCGCGUGGAGCCAUCCUUGAAAUACCACCCUGGCAUGCUUGAGGUUCUAACUCUGGUCCGUAAUCCGGAUCGAGGACAGUGUAUGGUGGGCAGUUUGACUGGGGCGGUCUCCUCCUAAAGAGUAACGGAGGAGUACGAAGGUGCGCUCAGACCGGUCGGAAAUCGGUCGCAGAGUAUAAAGGCAAAAGCGCGCUUGACUGCGAGACAGACACGUCGAGCAGGUACGAAAGUAGGUCUUAGUGAUCCGGUGGUUCUGUAUGGAAGGGCCAUCGCUCAACGGAUAAAAGGUACUCCGGGGAUAACAGGCUGAUACCGCCCAAGAGUUCAUAUCGACGGCGGUGUUUGGCACCUCGAUGUCGGCUCAUCACAUCCUGGGGCUGAAGCCGGUCCCAAGGGUAUGGCUGUUCGCCAUUUAAAGUGGUACGCGAGCUGGGUUUAGAACGUCGUGAGACAGUUCGGUCCCUAUCUGCCGUGGACGUUUGAGAUUUGAGAGGGGCUGCUCCUAGUACGAGAGGACCGGAGUGGACGAACCUCUGGUGUUCCGGUUGUCACGCCAGUGGCAUUGCCGGGUAGCUAUGUUCGGAAAAGAUAACCGCUGAAAGCAUCUAAGCGGGAAACUUGCCUCAAGAUGAGAUCUCACUGGGAACUUGAUUCCCCUGAAGGGCCGUCGAAGACUACGACGUUGAUAGGCUGGGUGUGUAAGCGUUGUGAGGCGUUGAGCUAACCAGUACUAAUUGCCCGUGAGGCUU
rnacentral:rRNA from 1 species